UACGUAGGGUGCAAGCGUUGUCCGGAAUUAUUGGGCGUAAAGAGCGUGUAGGCGGCCCGAUUAGUCCGCUGUGAAAGUCCAGGGCUCAACCCUGGAAUGCCGGUGGAUACUGUCGGGCUAGAGUCCGGAAGGGGCGAGUGGAAUUCCUGGUGUAGCGGUGAAAUGCGCAGAUAUCAGGAGGAACACCAAUGGCGAAGGCAGCUCGCUGGGACGUGACUGACGCUCAGACACGACAGCAUGGGGAGCGAACGGG
rnacentral:rRNA from 1 species